CUCUGUGACUCCUACGGGAGGCAGCAGUGGGGAAUAUUGCACAAUGGGGGAAACCCUGAUGCAGCCAUGCCGCGUGUGUGAAGAAGGCCUUCGGGUUGUAAAGCACUUUCAGUAGGGAGGAAGGUAGUGUAGUUAAUACCUGCAUUAUUUGACGUUACCUACAGAAGAAGCACCGGCUAACUCCGUGCCAGCAGCCGCGGUAAUACGGAGGGUGCGAGCGUUAAUCGGAAUUACUGGGCGUAAAGCGCAUGCAGGCGGCCUGUUAAGUCAGAUGUGAAAGCCCCGGGGCUUAACCUCGGAAUUGCAUUUGAAACUGGCAGGCUAGAGUCUUGUAGAGGGGGUAGAAUUUCAGGUGUAGCGGUGAAAUGCGUAGAGAUCUGAAGGAAUACCAGUGGCGAAGGCGGCCCCCUGGACAAAGACUGACGCUCAGAUGCGAAAGCGUGGGGAGCAAACAGGAUUAGAUACCCUGGUAG
rnacentral:rRNA from 1 species